rnacentral:rRNA from 1 species
AUUGAACGCUGGCGGCAGGCUUAACACAUGCAAGUCGAACGAGUGGCGGACGGGUGAGUAAUGUCUGGGAAACUGCCCAAUGGAGGGGGAUAACUACUGGAAACCGUAGCUAAUACCGCAUACCCUCGGAUGUGCCCAGAUGGGAUUAGCUAGUUGGUGGGGUAAAGGCUCACCUAGGCGACGAUCCCUAGCUGGUCUGAGAGGAUGACCAGCCACACGGGAACUGAGACACGGCCCAGACUCCUACGGGAGGCAGCAGUGGGGAAUAUUGCACAAUGGGCGCAAGCCUGAUGCAGCCAUGCCGCGUGUAUGAAGAAGGCCUUCGGGUUGUAAAGCACUUUCAGCGGGGAGGCGUUACUCGCAGAAGAAGCACCGGCUAACUACGUGCCAGCAGCCGCGGUAAUAC